rnacentral:rRNA from 1 species
GACGAACGCUGGCGGCGUGCUUAACACAUGCAAGUCGAACGAUGAAGCCGGAGCUUGCUCUAGUGAAUUAGUGGCGAACGGGUGAGUAACACGUGAGUAACCUGCCCUUGACUCUGGGAUAACUGCUAGAAAUGGUAGCUAAUACCGGAUACGACCCUCGGAGGCAUCUUCAGGGGGUGGAAAGAAUUUCGGUCAAGGAUGGACUCGCGGCCUAUCAGCUAGUUGGUGAGGUAAUGGCUCACAAGGCGACGACGGGUAGCCGGCCUGAGAGGGUGACCGGCCACACUGGGACUGAGACACGGCCCAGACUCCUACGGGAGGCAGCAGUGGGGAAUAUUGCACAAUGGGCGCAAGCCUGAUGCAGCAACGCCGCGUGAGGGAUGACGGCCUUCGGGUUGUAAACCUCUUUUAGUAGGGAAGAAGUGAAAGUGACGGUACCUGCAGAAAAAGCACCGGCUAACUACGUGCCAGCAGCCGCCGUAA